rnacentral:lncRNA from 1 species
AGGGUAACGCGGCCGGAGCGAGGGCGGGAGCCGGGCCGGAGCCGGAGUCGGAGCCGGGGCAGGAGUCACCGUCGCGGCUGGAGCGGAGUGAGCGGCGUGUUGAGAGGCGAGCGGCGGCCGAGGAAACAUUGUACCGUUGGUGAAGCCAGCUCAGGAGGCGGCGCGCCCCCCUCUGGAGGACGAGGACGCCACCUCGGGGACAGAAGUGCGGGUCCGGGCCCUUUACGACUACGAAGGGCAGGAGCACGAUGAGCUGAGCUUCAAGGCCGGGGACGAGCUGACCAAGAUAGAGGACGAGGAUGAGCAGGGCUGGUGCAAGGGGCGCUUGGACAACGGGCAGGUUGGCCUGUACCCAGCGAAUUACGUCGAGGCCAUCCCGUGACAGGCCAGUGGGCUGGCUGGCAGAGGGAUGGAGGCGGAGGUCCCAGGAGCUCUGUUAGCCAUAGGCCCCGGGCAGCGGCGCCUCCGGCCAGCCGUGGGGGCAUCCACUCCUUUUCCUGCAAAAGAUGAUGGUUCCAUUGCUCUUGGCUCCAUAGUGUCUCUUGAAGGCAGACGAGCGGGUCCUUUCAGCUGGGACUCGGUGCAGAUGGAGAGAUCUGAGCACAGGAAGAAAGACAGCACAGCAGACAUGGCUGGGCCCCUCCCUGCCCCCGCUCCCCCGCGCCGUGUGCUGGCUUAUCAUGGAUCUGUAUGUUCUUGGCCUUGUCCUUCCACCUCUCUUCCCAGCCAGCGGCGGGCUACACUGAUUCUGGUUCCACCAGUUACUUUCUCUGACAAGUCCCAUCACCUGCAACUUAAAUGAACAAACUUACAUGCCGUUUUCUGAAUGAAGACUUGGAGGUUUUUAAUUUAAAGGCUGUGUACAGUUAUAGUUUUUUAUGUACCUGUUCUUCCAUUCAUUUAUCCUUAAAUUAUGGCACAGAUCGAUGUACACGAGUCUUGAGGAAACAGCUCUAUUUCCAUGCUGUACUGUCAACCAGCCGUGCCACUGCCUGGGGCGAGCUGCAAGAGCUGGGAGCUCGCUCGGACAGACGAUGUUUAGGCCAGAGAGUGCACGGGAAGGCCGGAACACAUGGCUGGGUUUCUGUUGCGAUGCUCUCCGCAUGUGGGGGGUCCAAAUGGCAUUUCCGGAAGUAACUUACGUAGUGCUCGCUAAAGUCGCCGUAUUUAAAAACUAUUUUCACUCUUACUUGUGCUUAAUACUUUACUCUUACAAAUUAACGAUUUCAUCAGUGAUUUGAAAGGUUAAAAAUAAAAAAUAAGAAGACUAACUUUGCAAGCAAAUGCAUCUGUAGUUGAGAUGCUUUGUACCAGGCUCUCGUGUCUUGGUGUAUAUCUGUACAUGUUAUUUGAUAUUCAGAGAAUCUAAAGAGCUCGUCUACUGUGUUAAUGAGAUUUAACAGCUUUUGACAGUGGGUUUAAUUUGUAAACUGCUUGAAGACCGUGCGUUCAGGCCCAGGCGCUCGGGCUCCAGGCCUCGGAAGCGGAGCCCGCUGUGGGGAGACCUGUCCUCACUGCCCAGCUGCGGGCCAGCUUCCAAUAACCGCCUUAGUCCUCUCCGCGGCGAACACUGUACAAGCUCCUGAGUCCUUGCAGCAGCUGCAGAUCUCAUAGUCGCCCGUAUCCCUCUCGAGCAGACAAAAGCUGGGUCUCACCCCCCAGCACAAGGGUCUCCUCCAAGUGUCCGCAGCCAUCAGGGAGCAGGAAGCUACACUGUAAUCACAGGCCAGGGAGGGAGGGGAAAAUCUUUAUUUUGUGCUACUUGGACAUUGAGAAAUGGCUGCCGCCAUCACAAGCUAUGCAUUUUGUUCAGUGUUUCCAGGGAGCUUGAUGUCUUACUUGGAAAGUGGAUGUGUGUGUGUCUGUCAUGAAAACUUACCAGCAGAAAUCCUCAUUCCUUUGCUACAGAUUUACCAAAAAAUUGUCAAGUCUUUGCAGUGUAGGAGUUUCUUUAAAAUGUAGAGUAUUUUAGAAAAAAACGUCAAUAAACAGUUGAUCUCA